rnacentral:rRNA from 1 species
CCUACGGGAGGCAGCAGUGGGGAAUAGUGCACAAUGGGGGGAACCCUGAUGCAGCGACGCCGCGUGAGUGAAGAAGUAUUUCGGUAUGUAAAGCUCUAUCAGCAGGGAAGAAAAUGACGGUACCUGACUAAGAAGCCCCGGCUAACUACGUGCCAGCAGCCGCGGUAAUACGUAGGGGGCAAGCGUUAUCCGGAUUUCCUGGGUUUAAAGGGAGCGUAGACGGUUCUGCAAGUCUGCAGUGAAAGCCCAAGGCUCAACCAUGGGACUGCUUUGGAAACUGUAAAACUGGAGUGCAGGAGAGGUCCGCUGCCUUCCUCGUGUAGCGGUGACAUGCGUAGCUAUUAGGAGGCACACCCGUGUCGCAGGCGGCUUACUGGACUUUCACUGCCGUUGCGUCUCGCCUGCGUGGGUAUCACACAGGAUUAGAUACCCUGGUU